CCGAUCAUACGGUCGCGUGGCGUUGCCAUGAGGAAAGUCCGAGCACCGCAGAGCAGGACGCCGGAUAACGUCCGGUGGAGGCGACUCCAAGGAUAGUGCAACAGAAACAGACCGCAGGGCAUGCCCUGCAAGGAUGGAAAGGGGAGGUAAGAGCUCACCGACGCCGCGGUAACGCGGCGUGCUGUGUAAACCCCGUCCGGUGCAAGAUUGGGCUUAUGCCGAUAUGGGUUGCUCGCCCGGCAUAAGCCGUGAACAUCGCUAGAGUUCGCCGGCAACGGCGUUCCCAGAUAGAUGACCGUACACGACAGAACUCGGCUUACAGAUCGAU
rnacentral:RNase_P_RNA from 1 species